rnacentral:rRNA from 1 species
UACAGAGGGUGCAAGCGUUGUUCGGAAUUAUUGGGCGUAAAGCGCGUGUAGGCGGCUUUGCAAGUUGGGUGUGAAAUCCCUCGGCUCAACCGAGGAAGGGCGCCCAAAACUGCAUGGCUUGAGUCUCGGAGAGGAUGGCGGAAUUCCCCAAGUAGAGGUGAAAUUCGUAGAUAUGGGGAGGAACACCGGUGGCGAAGGCGGCCAUCUGGACGAAGACUGACGCUGAGACGCGAAAGCGUGGGGAGCAAACAGG